GGCGUACGGGUGAGUAACGCGUAGGUAAUCUACCCUAGAAUCUGGAAUAACCUGCCGAAAGGCGGGCUAAUACUGGAUAGAGCGAGGAACUCGUAAAUGAGUUUUUCGGGAAAGGCUGCAAGCAAUUGCAGUUGUUCUAGGAUGAGCCUGCGUCUCAUCAGCUAGUUGGUGGGGUAAAGGCCCACCAAGGCAUUGAUGGGUAGCUGGUCUGAGAGGAUGAUCAGCCACACUGGAACUGAAACACGGUCCAGACUCCUACGGGAGGCAGCAGUGGGGAAUCUUGCGCAAUGGAGGAAACUCUGACGCAGCCACGCCGCGUGAGUGAAGAAGGCCUUCGGGUUGUAAAGCUCUGUCGAGCGGGACGAAUAGCUUGUGGAUGAAUAAGCCAUGAGUCUGACGGUACCGCUAAAGGAAGCACCGGCUAACUCCGUGCCAGCAGCCGCGGUAAUACGGAGGGUGCAAGCGUUGCUCGGAAUUAUUGGGCGUAAAGGGUAGGUAGGUGGUCUCAUUUGUCUGGGGUGAAAGCCUUGAGCUUAACUCAAGAAGUGCCCCAGAAACGGUGAGACUGGAGUCCUGGAGAGGGUCGUGGAAUUCCCGGUGUAGCGGUGAAAUGCGUAGAGAUCGGGAGGAACACCAGAGGCGAAGGCGGCGACCUGGACAGGCACUGACACUCAACUACGAAAGCGUGGGGAGCAAACAGGAUUAGAUACCCUGGUAGUCCACGCUGUAAACGAUGGGUACUAGGUUUGGUGGGUCUUGACCCCCGCCGAACCGGCGCUAACGCACUAAGUACCCCGCCUGGGAAGUACGGUCGCAAGACUAAAACUCAAAGGAAUUGACGGGGGCCCGCAC
rnacentral:rRNA from 1 species